ensembl:snRNA U6 U6 spliceosomal RNA
GGGCUCACUUCGGCAGCACAUGUACUAAAAUUGGAAAGCUACGGAGAAGGUUGGCAUGGCCCGAGCACAAGGAUGACACGCAAAUUUGUAAAGCGUUUCAUACUUUC